CCUCCGCGUCCGUCCGGCUGCUUCUGGUGCUGUAGUUGCUUAUGGAAUUACUAUUUUACUGACUUUGCAGCUUGUUAUUGGAUUUAUAAGGGUUUCUGACAGUGAUAUAGCCGACUAUGCGAAACAGCAGCAACUCACCUGCGGAUUCCAGCAGUGGCGUCCUUAGACCGAUUUCUAUAGGGUGGGCCGAGGUCAACACAGUAUGUAAAAUAAUACACGUCGAUCGGUAUACAUCACGUACACUGAAAUUCGCCAACCGUGACGUAAUAAUCUACCCCCGGCAUUUUAACUCCGGCAUACAGCCACAUAGGUCCGGAAAACAACCGACACUAAUUUCGGGGAGUUUGUUCACAGCACAAACGUGCGAUAUAAUACAUAAUAUUUAUAUUUAAAAACAAUAUAU